GUUCGGGUCUCGUGCAACAUGAGCCUUCGAACCCUGUCAGGUCCGGAAGGAAGCAGCAGUAAGGAGGUCUUUAUGUGUGCCGCGAGGGUGCCUGGCCCGG
rnacentral:SRP_RNA from 1 species